UACGUAGGGGGCAAGCGUUGUCCGGAAUUACUGGGCGUAAAGGGAGCGCAGGCGGUCUUUUAAGUAGGAUGUGAAAUACCCGGGCUUAACCUGGGGGGUGCAUCCUAAACUGGGGGACUUGAGUGUGGGAGAGGAAAGUGGAAUUCCUAGUGUAGCGGUGAAAUGCGUAGAUAUUAGGAGGAACACCAGUGGCGAAGGCGACUUUCUGGACCAUAACUGACGCUGAGGCUCGAAAGCGUGGGGAGCAAACAGG
rnacentral:rRNA from 1 species